GGCCUUCAGGCUGGGGCUGCGGGCCAGGCCAGGCAUUUGCCACUCUGUUUCCCUCUCUUUCCUUGUGCCCCAGGUCUCUGACAUCCUCCGAUACUUAUUUCCCGUGCCCAAAGAUGACAGCCACCGGGUCAUUACCUUCGCAAACCAGGACGACUACAUAUCAUUCCGGCACCACGUGUACAAGAAGACAGACCACCGCAACGUGGAGCUCACUGAGGUCGGGCCCCGCUUUGAGCUGAAGCUGUACAUGAUCCGUCUGGGCACGCUGGAGCAGGAGGCCACAGCAGACGUGGAGUGGCGCUGGCACCCUUACACCAAUACCGCACGCAAGAGGGUCUUCCUGAGCGCCGAGUGAGCACACUCACCACUCAGUCAGGACAUGGACUUGGAACUCAGGAUGGGGCUGUCAUAGACAGACCCACCAGUAGGAACUGUCACAGAAUGGCCUGCUGAACUGGGAUGCGGAACUGUGGCGGGUGGAGAGGUCUGAAUAAACCGUCUGUGUCAUGGCC
rnacentral:sRNA from 1 species